CAUUUCUUAUUCCUCUGCAUUAAACGAGAAAAUCUUUCGCCUUUUACUAAAGAUUUCCGUGCAGGGGAAUAAUUAUGAGUUAACUCUUAUUUUUGGAGUCCCGACUUAGGUCAGGGA
rfam:Anisakis simplex genome assembly, scaffold: ASIM_contig0005457